AUACGGAGGAUCCGAGCGUUAUCCGGAUUUAUUGGGUUUAAAGGGAGCGUAGGUGGAUUGUUAAGUCAGUUGUGAAAGUUUGCGGCUCAACCGUAAAAUUGCAGUUGAAACUGGCAGUCUUGAGUACAGUAGAGGUGGGCGGAAUUCGUGGUGUAGCGGUGAAAUGCUUAGAUAUCACGAAGAACUCCGAUUGCGAAGGCAGCUCACUAGACUGUUACUGACACUGAUGCUCGAAAGUGUGGGUAUCAAACAGGAUUAGAUACCCUGGUAGUCCACACAGUAAACGAUGAAUACUCGCUGUUUGCGGUAUACAGUAAGCGGCCAAGCGAAAGCGUUAAGUAUUCCACCUGGGGAGUACGCCGGCAACGGUGAAACUCAAAGGAAAUGACGGGG
rnacentral:rRNA from 1 species